rnacentral:ribozyme from 13 species
UCUUUUUUCUUUUUCUUUUUCCUUUUCUUUUUCUUU